rnacentral:rRNA from 1 species
GAUGAACGCUGGCGGCGUGCCUAAUACAUGCAGGUCGAGCGAAUGGAUUAAGAGCUUGCUCUUAUGAAGUUAGCGGCGGACGGGUGAGUAACACGUGGGUAACCUGCCCAUAAGACUGGGAUAACUCCGGGAAACCGGGGCUAAUACCGGAUAACAUUCUGAACCGCAUGGUUCGAAAUUGAAAGGCUGCUUCGGCUGUCACUUAUGGAUGGACCCGCGUCGCAUUAGCUAGUUGGUGAGGUAACGGCUCACCAAGGCAACGAUGCGUAGCCGACCUGAGAGGGUGAUCGGCCACACUGGGACUGAGACACGGCCCAGACUCCUACGGGAGGCAGCAGUAGGGAACCUUCCGCAAUGGACGAAAGUCUGACGGAGCAACGCCGCGUGAGUGAUGAAGGCUUUCGGGUCGUAAAACUCUGUUGUUAGGGAAGAACAAGUGCUAGUUGAAUAAGCUGACACCUUGACGGUACCUAACCAGAAAGCCACGGCUAACUACGUGCCAGCCGCCGCGGUAA